CCAAUUAAAUAACAGGUGAUUGGUAUUCUAGCUUAACAAAAACUAGAUACACAAAAUUAAGUGCAGUACCUGCCUAGAACAUUUUUUCUGGCGUUAUUUAUUACGCUUUUCAUGACAAAAUAACGAAUAAUAAUAAUUUAAUAAAAAAUAGUUAUUUUGUCAUGACUCAUUGCUCACUCCGUAGGAGUAGGCACCGUACCAAUGUGCACCGAUACAUAAAAAUAAUAUUAUUAAUAAACAUAAAUAAUAUUUUGAUAAUAAUUUGAGUUUCAGCCAUUUUCGGUUAGGCAGUGGAGUUACAAACUUUAAAUAAUUCUAGAAGCAAAUCAGUGUUUUACAACCAUCGUCCACCUUGAUCUAUCAAUUUGUACAAUACCUACAGCCGAUAUAAUAGCUAUAUAGUAUAUAUAUGUUUAGCAAUACGUGUUACUCCCUCCUAAUCAUAUAAAUUUUAGAAAAAACCACCCACCUGCCCUACACAAUAUAAUUCAGAAACAGCUGCUU